UUUUUUUAGUUUUUUUUAAAGGUAUAUUCUGCCCUAUGAUUAUUUAAAUGGCUGCAGUAUUUUGACUGUGCAAAGGUAGCAUAAUAAUUAGUCAUUUAAUUGUUGACUUGUAUGAAUGAAUGAAUGAGGUAUAAUUUUUAUUAAUUUAAUUAUUAAAAUUUUAUUUUUAGGUAAAAAAGCUUAAUUAAUUUUUAGGGACGAAAAGACCCUAGAGAACUUUAUUAGUUUUUAAUUUAUUUUAUUUAGUUUUUUGUUUUAUUAAAUUAUAAAAAUUUUUUUGGUUGGGGUGACAGUUAAAUAUAACUUUAAUUAUUUUUUUCAUUUAUUUAUGUUUUACUGAUCCUAAAAUCUAGAUUAUAAGUCUAAGUUACCUUAGGGAUAACAGCGUAAUUUUAAUGGAAAGUUCAUAUUUAUAUUAAAGUUUGCGACCUCGAUGUUGAAUUAAGAUAAGUGAAAGGGGUAGGUUCUUUUCUUUUAAGUCUGUUCGACUUUUAUAUUCUU
rnacentral:rRNA from 1 species